rnacentral:rRNA from 1 species
GUAGGUGGCAAGCGUUGUCCGGAAUUAUUGGGCGUAAAGCGCGCGCAGGCGGUUCUUUAAGUCUGAUGUGAAAGCCCACGGCUCAACCGUGGAGGGUCAUUGGAAACUGGAGAACUUGAGUACAGAAGAGGAAAGCGGAAUUCCACGUGUAGCGGUGAAAUGCGUAGAGAUGUGGAGGAACACCAGUGGCGAAUGCGGCUUUCUGGUCUGUAACUGACGCUGAGGCGCGAAAGCGUGGGGGGAGCAAACAGGAUUAGAUACCCUGGUAGUCCACGCCGUAAACGAUGAGUGCUAAGUGUUAGGGGGUUUCCGCCCCCCCCUUAGUGCUGCAGCUAACGCAUUAAGCACUCCGCCUGGGGAGUACGGCCGCAAGGCUG